AAAAAAAAGGGUUCUAAAAAUUGUACAUAUCUGUCCUGCUGUUUUCCUCCCCUUAUUAAAGAAGAAAGACAAGAAGAAAAGGCAAAGGGGCAGAAGGGAGAAGCCGAAGGCUGGUGAAAAACUCUCUUUCAGAUUCUGCAAAAGAAACUAAAACAAAGCAGAAGAUCUCUGGUUCCGUUACAUCUCAAAAAAAAAAUAAUUUUCAAAAGCCUGUUGCUG
rnacentral:misc_RNA from 1 species